CACUGACAGCUUGCACCGUGCACCUGGAAAAGCUGCAGACCUCAAUGCUAGCCCAUGAAAGCAGCCAGGAGGGGGGCUAUACCCUGCAAAGCCACAGGGUGGAGAUGCCCAAGGCCACUGAAGCUCACCUCUUGUAUCAGUGUGACCUGGAUGUGAGACAUGAAGUCAAAGGCUCAUAGACAGAAAGGACUUGCCUUGUCUUGGAUGAGACUUUGAACUGUGGACUUUUGAGUUAAUGCUGAAAUGAGUUGAGACUCUGGAGACUGUUGGUAAAGCAUGAUAGAUUAUGAAAUGUGAAGAUACGAGAUUUGGGAGGGGCGAGAGACAGAAUGAUAUGGUUUGGCUGUGUCCCCACCCAAAUUUCAUCUGGAAUUCCCACAUGUUGUAGGAGGGACCCUGUAGGAGGUAAUUGAAUCAUGGGGGCAAGUAUUUCCCAUGCUGUUCUCUUGAUAACGAAUAAGUCUCAUGAGAUCCGAUAGUUUUUAAAGAGAAGUUCCCUUGCACACAUUUUUUUGUUUCGCCUGCCGCCCUCCACGUAAGAUGUGACUUGUUCCUCCUUGCAUUUUGCCAUGAUCGUGAGGUCUUCCCAGCCAUGUGGAACUGUAAGUCCAAUUAAACCUUUUUCUUUUGUAAAUUG